rnacentral:ncRNA from 1 species
UGCUAUACUAGUGAAGUUGUCGAUUUUGGGGAAAUAAUUUUCCCGUCUGACGCAACCCUUGGCGCUUAACUUCUUUCGCCAAGCAUAUUACACGCGCUCAUGCGCUAAAGGAGAAAACAUG